GAUGAACGCUGGCGGCGUGCCUAAUACAUGCAAGUCGAGCGAACGGACGAGAAGCUUGCUCCUCUGAUGUUAGCGGCGGACGGGUGAGUAACACGUGGAUAACCUACCUAUAAGACUGGGAUAACUUCGGGAAACCGGAGCUAAUACCGGAUAAUAUUUUGAACCGCAUGGUUCAAAAGUGAAAGACGGUCUUGCUGUCACUUAUAGAUGGAUCCGCGCUGCAUUAGCUAGUUGGUAAGGUAACGGCUUAACAAGGCAACGAUGCAUAGCCGACCUGAGAGGGUGAUCGGCCAGACUGGAACUGAGACACGGUCCAGACUCCUACGGGAGGCAGCAGUAGGGAAUCUUCCGCGAGGGGCGAAAGCCUGACGGAGCAACGCCGCGUGAGUGAUGAAGGUCUUCGGAUCGUAAAACGCUGUAAGUAGGGAAGAACAAAUGUGUAAUUAACUGUGCAGAUCUUGACGGUACCGAAACAGAAAGCCACGGCUAACUACGUG
rnacentral:rRNA from 1 species